AAAAAAUUCAUUGAUAAAUCAAAUAAUUUUCCAAGGUAAAAGAGCACCAGACCAAUUUGAAAAUAAUAAUAAUAAGAAGAAGAAGGAACAUAGCUCCAAUAAAGGGAACCCAAGUAUUCGCUAUGGCAUAGUAAAAAAUCUCAUUGUUCUCGCACUGUUGAACUUCAUACUAUGCUAUAUUACUCGAAUUAUUUUAUUCAUUACUCAACCAACUGUGAUAAGUCCAUGCAUAUGCUAUUUUUUUUAUCUAGCUAUAUGGUGUGUUCGGUGGAAUUCCUCCGCACAUAUAACACUUGCAUCCCUCGGGUACGCACGUGGCGGAUGGGCCACCGGGUGCGGAGAUAAACUUCUUGCAGUAAGAUAGGCAUUCGGCGUUGUUACAUUUGCCCUUCCUGAUGAUGUGUUUGCAUACGGUCUUAGAAGCUGCCAUAGCUAGAUAUCAAAAGGGAAAAUAGGGUAUGUUAGACAAUCAUGCAAUAUAUACAUAUGUCAAAAAUUCACGCAUCACUAGUGUAGAUAACUAGGCACUAGAGUGCUUAGUAUUGAUCGAUUAGACACCCGAUGAUAGAAUUAGGAGGGAAAAUGCAAGGAAUAGAAUGUGCGGGCUCCUCAUUUCUUGGUCUACACUGAACUCUAGGAUUGAGUUGCUAAUAUGGUGCUUGUUGUGCCCCUUUGGACUACUAGUGUGGAAUUGAAAGGCAAAUGAUGCUUCCUUUAUAGUGGGCAAACACUUGUAACCGAUGAAGAUAAGGUCACAUUAAUCGCAAUACAUUAAUAUGAUUCAUGCUGAAGAAGGGAUCAACGAUAUUAAUUAAGUUCUUUAAAAGGAUCAACUCGAUGGUAUUAAUUCAUGAACAAAAUAACAACAAUUUAAUCGAGGCGGGGUAUUGUGGCGAAUUAGCACACACCGAGGAUAAUAACUGGAAAAUGUUUUAAAUAUUUUUUUCCUGUUUUUUCCUCCCCAAAACUAGGUGUGCAAGCACAAGAAGAGUAAUUACUCUUUUUAUGACAUUGGCUAUAUGGCAAAGUACGAACACAAUGACUUAAAUCUCAUUGCAAAUGCAAAAGGAAAAUAUUUUAUUUGAAAAAUAGAUUGUAAAAAUCAUGAAUAUUUCAAACUAACAAGAAUUGGGGAAAAUAAUAAUGCUCAUAUAGUUUUAUCUAUAGCACAUAUGGAUCAUAUAGACAAGGAUAUCAUUUAUGCAUCCUACAUUGUAGUUCCUAAGUUCCAAAAUGGAAGCAAUGGAGUGAGAGAGGGGAUGAGGCAAUCAACAAAUUUCGAGCAUUCAUUAGACACUAGGAGGCUUAAAAUUAGUAAAAAGUAAGGACAUAAAUUUGUAAGAAAAAUAAAAUAAAAUAUGAAAACACUAGUAAUAGGUUACCCUUUUGAGAGGUUAGAGUUAGAUGUCUCCGGCACAUGGCACA
rnacentral:lncRNA from 1 species